GCCUGGGUGGCUCAGUCGGUUGAGCUUCUGACUUUUGACUCAGGUCAUGAUCUCACAAUUCGUGGGUUCAAGCCUCACGUCAGGCU
rnacentral:tRNA from 1 species